rnacentral:lncRNA from 1 species
ACAAGGAUUAUUUGUAUUUUAAUUCGUUCUUGGAUUAACAUGCAAAUUGGCUACAAGCCCUAUAAGCAUUCAAAUAAAAAUUCACUGAAGUAAUUUUAGGAAAACCCAUCUUCAGUAGGUAUGAAAUGUCUACCCUAAAAUAAGGUGGCAGGACACUGCAUCUUUCUUAAGCAUGGAUUAUCUUUAUACUCACUCAGUGAUCAUGAAAAACAGUUGUACGAACAUCAUA